CGAGGGUGGCUCGACAGCAGUAGAGAUUGCUAAUCCUUUACCCCCUCGGUUGAACCCCGAGGCCCCCUCGAC
rnacentral:tRNA from 1 species